rnacentral:rRNA from 1 species
CCUACGGGUGGCUGCAGUGAGGAAUAUUGGUCAAUGGCCGUAAGGCUGAACCAGCCAAGUAGCGUGAGGGAAGACUGCCCUAUGGGUUGUAAACCUCUUUUAUGCGGGGAUAAAGGUGUCCACGUGUGGAUGUUUGCAGGUACCGCAUGAAUAAGGACCGGCUAAUUCCGUGCCAGCAGCCGCGGUAAUACGGAAGGUCCGGGCGUUAUCCGGAUUUAUUGGGUUUAAAGGGUGCGCAGGCGGAGGUGCAAGUCAGCGGUCAAAUUGCGGGGCUCAACCCCGUACUGCCGUUGAAACUGCAUCCCUUGAGUGCGCGAGAAGUAUGCGGAAUGCGUGGUGUAGCGGUGAAAUGCAUAGAUAUCACGCAGAACUCCGAUUGCGAAGGCAGCAUACCGGCGCGCAACUGACGCUCAUGCACGAAAGCGUGGGUAUCGAACAGGAUUAGAUACCCGGGUAGUC